rnacentral:rRNA from 1 species
UAGGGAAUAUUGGACAAUGGGGGCGACCCUGAUCCAGCCAUGCCGCGUGAGUGAAGAAGGCCCUCGGGUUGUAAAGCUCUUUUGUCCGGAAAGAAAAGCUUCGGGUUAAUACCCCGGGGUUCUGACGGUACCGGAAGAAUAAGCACCGGCUAACUUCGUGCCAGCAGCCGCGGUAAUACGAAGGGUGCAAGCGUUACUCGGAAUUACUGGGCGUAAAGCGUGCGUAGGUGGUUGUUUAAGUCUGAUGUGAAAGCCCUGGGCUCAACCUGGGAAUGGCAUUGGAAACUGGGCAGCUAGAGUGCGGUAGAGGGUAGUGGAAUUCCCGGUGUAGCAGUGAAAUGCGUAGAGAGCGGGAGGAACAUCUGUGGCGAAGGCGACUGCCUGGACCAGCACUGACACUGAGGCGCGAAAGCGUGGGGAGCAAACA